GCAGUAGAACGCUGAAGACUUUAGCUUGCUAAAGUUGGAAGAGUUGCGAACGGGUGAGUAACGCGUAGGUAACCUGCCUACUAGCGGGGGAUAACUAUUGGAAACGAUAGCUAAUACCGCAUAACAGCAUUUAACCCAUGUUAGAUGCUUGAAAGGAGCAAUUGCUUCACUAGUAGAUGGACCUGCGUUGUAUUAGCUAGUUGGUGAGGUAACGGCUCACCAAGGCGACGAUACAUAGCCGACCUGAGAGGGUGAUCGGCCACACUGGGACUGAGACACGGCCCAGACUCCUACGGGAGGCAGCAGUAGGGAAUCUUCGGCAAUGGGGGCAACCCUGACCGAGCAACGCCGCGUGAGUGAAGAAGGUUUUCGGAUCGUAAAGCUCUGUUGUAAGAGAAGAACGUGUGUGAGAGUGGAAAGUUCACACAGUGACGGUAACUUACCAGAAAGGGACGG
rnacentral:rRNA from 1 species